UCCGGAGUAGCUCAGUGGUAGAGCGAUCGGCUGUUAACCGAUUGGUCGUAGGUUCGAGUCCUACCUCCGGAGCCA
rnacentral:tRNA from 1 species